rnacentral:rRNA from 1 species
AUGUCUCUUUGAUUUAUUUUAAUAAAGAGUUGGGCCUGCUCGGUGAUUAAUAUUUAACAGCUGCGGUAUUAUAACUGUACUAAGGUAGCAUAAUAAUUUGCCUUAUAAAUUGAGGCUAGAAUGAAUGGUUUGACGAACAUUAUACUGUCUCUGUCUUAUUUAUUAGAAGUUAAUUUUUAUAGUGAGAAAGCUUGGAUAAUUUAAAGGGACGAAAAGACCCUAUUGAGCUUUAUAUUAUACUUUAAAAUUAUUUAUUGUUUUUAUUUAAAUAUAAUUUUGGUUGGGGUGAUCAAGGAAUAAAUAAUUAAUUUUAACUUCCUUAAUUUGUUUAUAGUUAUAUGAAUAAACCAAAUUUUUUGCUUAGAAGAUAAGUUACCAUAGGGAUAACAGCGUAAUUUUUUUUGAAAGUUCAUAUUGAAAAAAGAGAUUGCGACCUCGAUGUUGGAUUAAAAUAACCUUAAGGUGAAGAGGCUUUAAUUGGUGAAUCUGUUCGAUUUUUAAAAUUUUACGUGA